rnacentral:tRNA from 1 species
UGAUAGUACGGUGGUUUAGUAUCUCUGCUUGUCACGCAGAAGACCCGGGUUCGAUUCCCGGUC